rnacentral:rRNA from 1 species
CACGUAGGGGGCGAGCGUUGUCCGGAUUUAUUGGGCGUAAAGAGCUCGUAGGCGGCUCGGUAAGUCAGGUGUGAAAACUCUAGGCUCAACCUAGAGACGCCACCUGAUACUGCCGUGGCUAGAGUCCGGUAGGGGAGCAUGGAAUUCCUGGUGUAGCGGUGAAAUGCGCAGAUAUCAGGAGGAACACCGAUGGCGAAGGCAGAUCUCUGGGCCGUAACUGACGCUGAGGAGCGAAAGCAUGGGGAGCGAACAGG